rnacentral:rRNA from 1 species
UCGAGCGAACGGACGAGAAGCUUGCUUCUCUGAUGUUAGCGGCGGACGGGUGAGUAACACGUGGAUAACCUACCUAUAAGACUGGGAUAACUUCGGGAAACCGGAGCUAAUACCGGAUAAUAUUUUGAACCGCAUGGUUCAAAAGUGAAAGACGGUCUUGCUGUCACUUAUAGAUGGAUCCGCGCUGCAUUAGCUAGUUGGUAAGGUAACGGCUUACCAAGGCAACGAUGCAUAGCCGACCUGAGAGGGUGAUCGGCCACACUGGAACUGAGACACGGUCCAGACUCCUACGGGAGGCAGCAGUAGGGAAUCUUCCGCAAUGGGCGAAAGCCUGACGGAGCAACGCCGCGUGAGUGAUGAAGGUCUUCGGAUCGUAAAACUCUGUUAUUAGGGAAGAACAUAUGUGUAAGUAACUGUGCACAUCUUGACGGUACCUAAUCAGAAAGCCACGGCUAACUACGUGCCAGCAGCCGCGGUAAUACGUAGGUGGCAAGCGUUAUCCGGAAUUAUUGGGCGUAAAGCGCGCGUAGGCGGUUUUUUAAGUCUGAUGUGAAAGCCCACGGCUCAACCGUGGAGGGUCAUUGGAAACUGGAAAACUUGAGUGCAGAAAAGGAAAGUGGAAUUCCAUGUGUAGCGGUGAAAUGCGCAGAGAUAUGGAGGAACACCAGUGGCGAAAGCGACUUUCUGGUCUGUAACUGACGCUGAUGUGCGAAAGCGUGGGGAUCAAACAGGAUUAUAUACCCUGGUAUUCCACGCCGUAAACGAUGAGUGCUAAGUGUCACGGGGGUUUCCACCUCUUCAUUGCUGCAGCUAACGAUUAAGACUCCACUGACGGAGUACGACGGCACCGUUGGUCUCACAGAAUGAAUAGAAA